AUGUUCAGUCUACUUGGAUUGGCUUCAAACAAAUGUGACAGAUGUCGCUUUUUUUGGCUCCAAUGCUUGCCAGUCGAGCAUAUGCAUGUUUGCACAUUACAUCUGCAAUCAGCGAUAACGUCCUGUGCCCCAAAGAGCUUGCACAUCCAACUUUCACUGAAAAAUCUUGAAUUGCUUUUCCUCCAAGUCCUCUGGCUCGCAGGUGCUCUUGAUAUCUCUCUUUGCUUUUUCCAGCUACUUAUUAUUCGAAUGUGUGAGUGUACCGUAGUCUGCAACCUAUCUCCUAUAUAUGGGUACUUGGGGCCUUUCUAAUAUGUUGCAAUUACAAUAACACAAUAAAUAACCUUGUAUCUGACUUUUGCACAAAUUUUUUUUUUGUACUCUUCCAGGUUUAUGUUCAGGGUAAGUUAUUAAAAUUGCCUUUGUUUUGUUAAAGGGUAAAUGCAUAUGUUGUUUCUAUUGUAAUAUGUGCCCUCUUUAGGGAUUAUACUAUUUUUUUGCCAAUCUCAUUGGUGAAAAAUAGUAUCUCAUCAUGGUUGUAAGUUACAUUUCUCUUACGGGAAAAGUUGAAUAUCUUUUAAAAUGCUUUAGGGGAAUAUAAUCUAUUUUUUUGGCGAAUUAUCCCUGUAUUCUGUUUUUUUUCUACUGGGUUUUUGGUCUUUUUGCCCCCUCUCAUUUUUUUUUAAAGAUUUAUUUAUUUAUGAUAGACAUAGAGAGAGAGAGAGGCAGAGACACAGGCAGAGGGAGAAGCAGGCUCCAUGCCGGGAGCCCAAUGCGGGACUCAAUCCCGGGACUCCAGGAUCGUGCCCUGGGCCAAAGGCAGGCGCUAAACCGCUGGGCCACCCAGGGAUCCCCUGCCCCCUCUCAUUUUUUAAAAGAUUUUAUUUUUAAGUAAUCUCUACACCCAACAUGGGGCUUGAAACUCAUGAUCUGGAGGUCAAGAGUCACAUACUUUACCAACUGAGCCAGCCAAGUGUCCCUCCCCUAAUUUUUUUUUUUUAAAUAAGUUCUUCAUAUAUUUGGGGAUAUUAGUCUUUUAUCUGUGAUAGAUCUUGAAAAUAUUUUCUCUCAAUUUGUCAUUUACCUUUUGACUUGGUAAUUUUUCUUGUCAUGCAAAUAUAUUUUCACAAAGCUCAAUCUGUUCAGUCUGUUAUUUUAUUACAUAUGAAUUUUGAUAUAUUUUCUUUAUUCAGAAUUUUCCCAAAAGUUGUCUACUACCAAUGCUAGGCUAUGGUGGUGUUUGAGUUACAAAUACAACGUGGGUAUGUCUGCAUUUGUCACUCUUUGCUCACAAUACUAAGUCUAAAUGCAAGCACCAGACUAUUUCAUUACAUCUGCUAAUGUAGCUAUGCCUGAGCAUUUACAUAUUAAAAUGCAUAUCAUAGUAUAA
rnacentral:lncRNA from 1 species